UAGUAGGUACCGAUAGUAAUUCGAAUGCUGUAAGAAUAAGUAGUUUUUGUGUUGUUACGCGAUCGCAUUAUAAUUAAUCCUUUUUUUCUUUCUUUUUUAUUUCGAAUAAUAAUGUGUAAAAUAUGUCAAUAAAAUGACGUAAUUUCGAGUGCGAAUUUAAUUGAAUUUUCGAUAAUGAUUUCGCGUAUUAUUUCGAAUGAAUCGAGUCUAAUUAUGGAAGAAUAAACCUGUGUCACGUAAGCCAGUAAUGGCGGUGCUUAGGCACACGCCUAGAUAAUGGUGUGAAUUUAGGUCAAAUUCUUCUGAAGUAGGGCUACUAUAUAGUCAUGGAAAUUGACUCAGUCUUAGUUUAAAAAAUUAAAAUUGUCAAGGUAAUGUCAGGUUUUUCAAACUAAUAAUUAGAUAUAUCAGGUAUGAUAUUUUAUUAGCUCUUAGAAAUUUAUAUGAUCGAGUUAACGAUCUAAUUUUUAAUGUGUCUAACAUCGUAAUUGUUCUAUUCGAAUAAUCCUAUUUUGAUCGAAUGAAUAUCUAUCACCUAAAAGAGGUUACAAUCUCAAACUAUGCUCUUGGAACUUUGAUAGGUAUUUACCUAUUUGUAAAUAGUCCCUUCUUACUAACCCUUUUCGAUGAUAGGAAAUAAAUUACUCUCAUGUGAAGACAUUUUAAUUAUCUGGAGUAUAGGCAGGUUCCUAUUAGUCACUUUCCUGUAAAAAUACCCACUUAUCCUAGUUAGAAUUUCCAGUCAAAAUCCUUACCUACCUAUUUGGACACGCCAAGCUUCCCCCAAAAAAUGAUUCCUUAUUAAAUAUUCUUAAACCUAUACCACAAUGUAUGAAAUAACUAGGUAAAGUGUAGAAAAAAUUCAAUUUCACACUUUCUCAGGAAAUGUAUGGAAUAACUAGUUAUUUCAUACAUUAUACCCGGAGUAAACACAUUAACGGUAACAUACACAUGAAAAGUGGUAUUACGCAGCCCAUACUAGACCGGGCUGCAAAAAGUCUAUUCUGUUUUCACUCGCUACAGACAUUCAAAAACAAACCAAUGCAGUGUGUAUAUGAGACAGAAUACCACUGAAGACUUGCAUUAUCCGAUUUUAUGAACUUGGCAUUACAUUUACAAGUUAUUCGAGUUCCUCACCUCUCUGGAAGUGAAUGAAAACAAUUUUGAUGGUGGAAAAAGUCUGGGGAAUAUCUAAAAAACAUACACUCGAGUGGGGAGCCCUCCUUAAAAAUUGAAAAUUGAAUUACAAGCCUAAAUAUAAGUCUUUCUCCAACCUGAUGGAGUAUAAUACCUUCUUUUCAUGGCCCAGCAGUGAGCUGCUUUGAGAACACAUGGAAAAAAUCAAGCGCGCCUCUGCUCGUCAGUUCAAAUCCAAAAUUUAACCGCCGCGCUGAUUAAGUAUUUCAUUUUUGAUAAAAAAUCAAAAAUUUUGGAUGCGAAUCGCUACAAUUUUUUCAGUUUAACAAUCAUGCUAUCCGUAGUAAGAGAAUUCAAACCAAGGCAAAGUAGGUACCUACCAAAUCUGAAUUUGAGUUUUUUUUUUUAUAAAUGAUGGUUUUUUCUUAGGUUUAAAUUACCUAUUUGUUAAUCUUCAAAUUUCGAUGUUGGAGUAGGUAUUCACUUUAAAGAGAGAGCGUCAUUGAUCCACUCUACCACUUUUUUGAUCGAGUUAAUAUUUUUGAGAAAGUUUUAGGCUAAUCAUCGAUUGAUGAUUAAAUAUUAUCAGACUCUCGCAUCGAAUGUUUUAAUUUUCCUGGAUCAAUGAGCCUCGUACUAAUUGAACCAUUUCUAAUAUUUAAGUUUCAUAAUACCUAUUUGAGAUAAAUUUUGAAGCAACAGAAAAAAGAUAAUUAAAAUUCAGACAAUUUGUCGCGGUCGCGAAUAUGGUAGGUACCUACAUUAGCUCACUUCUGCAACGUUCGAAAUUCAGCUGAGAAAAAAUGAAUCCGUUGAUUUGUUCCAUUUUAUGUGUUUUCGUAACAGAGGUUCGAUCACAGAAGGUUAACGAUAAUGACCAGGGCUCGGAUUUUUAUGCUGGAGCAUAUUUUUUGUAUGCAUAGGGGAUAGGGAAUUUUUCAAUUAUCUCCACGAUUCAUGAAAUUUCAAGUCAAAUGAGCCUAAUUUGUUAGAGCAUAUUUUGGCAUAUUUCACCAUAAAAGCAUAUAAAAGCAUAUUUUGGCAUUUUAUAGGGAAUAUUUUGCGUUUUUAGAGCAUAUUUUACGUUUUUUGACGGGUUUUAGGGAAUAUUUUGCCCAAUUUCAAAUUUUUGCAUCAAAUUACUAUAUUUUUGUGAAACUGGCAAUAGCUCACUACUACCUACUUAUUUUUUUAUUUGUUUUUUAUUCCUUUAAUAAUGGAACUAGAAUUACCUUUUCGUGAUUUUAAAACGGUCUGUUUUGCAUUUUUGUUUGUGAAUUCUUGGUAUUACACAACAAUAUUACUAAAAUCGUAUAGGAAUUAAUUUUUCCUGUAAAACAGUACCCAUAUCGUUAGGGAAUAUUUUUACUUUUUAGAGCAUAUUUUGACAUUUUUUAGGGAAUAUUUAAGCGCAUAUUUUGGGUUUUUUAGAGAAAGAAUAUCCGAGCCCUGAUAAUGACAUUAUUGGUAAAUAAUAUCUAAGCAAAUAUCUACCGCUGCAUGAUAUCCUAUGGACAUGAUGCAAUCACUACGCUUUGAUAACCUAGUUGUUAUUCUUAAUUGGAUAGAAGUUCUGUCUAUAGAAUUUACGAAACACGGAAAGCGCAGCAAAAGUCGUUAUUGGAGGAACCCGUAUCCCUUCUCACAAAAUCUGUCAGAUAAAUGCGAAAAUUAUGGACUCAGCGACGAUUACGUGUACUCAAAGGAAAAUCAGGAAAAAUGUCUAAAGGACAUUUUAGCUCCACCUGCUUUAUUCGAAGAAAGUGCUGAUUUAUCGUGUGGGCAACCUUACGGCUGCUUGGUUAGAUCGUCAAUGAUACCACUGGUAUUUUAGCUCAAGUGCAGCUAGGAUUGCCAGUUGCUCGCAUAUGAGCAGUAUACCUGUUUGGAAAAGCAUCGCAGAUGGAAAUUUAAGGAGAGUCGACCUUUACUUAAUUGCAGCUGUGCAGCACUUGAAAGGAUUUAUGUUUUUUGGCGUGAGUGGCGUUUUAAAAAUGAAAACAUCAACCGGUAACAAUCUAACCCGAAAAAUGUUCCUAUCAGAAUCUGUACACAAUCGAGUUAUAACGAUUCCGAAAAUACUAUACAGAAUUUUUGAAAUCACUUCGAGAAAACCGCCAGCUGAAGACCAUGUUGCCGCAAUCAUAAUCCAUAAUGAUCCCGCUGCUGACCCAAAAACUGAUAAGCUGUGUAGUUGGUUGGAUACUCUAUCGGGAUGGUAUGAAAUAGAGAACAACGAUGCAAAAACGGGAUUAACAUACGUGUGUCGUAUGUCACACGAACUGAAUAAUAAAUUGGGCGCUUAUGAUUACAUUUCACUGCGUAACAUAGAACCCUUGAAUUUGGAUGCAAUACCCUAUUAUCAAAGUUUUACUGACCCAAGCGAAUACGAAGAUGAGUCGGAAUCUAUUAAUUUAUACUUUAGAAGUUUAUUACAAGAGUAUUACAUGUAUUACCCAAAGUGAAUGUGCAUUUACAUCCUACAUUUUAUGAUGUACUUAAUUCUCAAUAAUGUAGUCCUGUUUUUUGUU